AACGGAGACCCAUCUUCUGCCAAUACAGCAAUGACAGGGCCAUCUCUGAGGUAACAGAUCAGGAUUUGUUGUUAUUGAGACAGCUGACAGGGACACCUAUGAGCUACAUAGCAAGCAAACCCCAGAUAGAUGUAGUGAUAGGUCAGGAGAAGUACCCUCUUGGAAGUGGCUUGAGCUACCAGCUCCCACUAUUGGACAACACUUCACAAGCAUCCUCCCGAUCAAACUCCAGUGACUUCCCAGCAUUCCCUUUGCCACCACAGCCAGGCUCUUUCUGUACUGUCCUUAAUAAAGUGCAAAUGGAAAGGUUCAGUACCAUAGUAGUCUCAAAGGCUGAGGCAGAGGCACUUGAGAAAAACACCAGACAGCAGAGUAGCAACAACAUCUGGCAUCAUGUCCGCUCUAUUCGCCUAACCUCAUCGUCCUUCAAAAGAAUAAUCUCUAGAAGAGCUGACUUUGAACAACUUGCCAUCAUCAUGCAGAGGAAGAAGAGCAUCAUGACAAAAGCCAUGAAGAGGCCUGGAGCUUGAGCCAGCCGCUGCAGCCCAGUAUGCGGUCAUCACUGGUAAUGAUGUGCAAGUGUGUGGGUUUGUCAUCAACCCUAAUGCCCCCUAUUUGGGUACAUCCCCUGACAGAAGGGUUCAGAGUGGUGAGAGUGAGACCUAUGGACUACUCGAAAUUAAAUGUCUAAUGAAA